rnacentral:misc_RNA from 1 species
ACUUCUUUCUUCCUCUCUCUCUCUUUUUCCUUCUCCAUUCUUUUCUUUUUCGUUUAGCAAACUACCAUCAUGUGACUCACCUUGCCAUUGUUGGCAUUCCAUCCUUGACUGUCAAUUCUCACCAAUAGCGCCUCUUUUGUUUAGUUCUAGUUUUUGGCCAUCGAUUAGUUCUUAUCGCCAUUUAGUUCAUUCGGCAUUUUAAAAAUCAUCCUUG